AACGAACGCUGGCGGCAUGCCUAACACAUGCAAGUCGAACAGUGGCGCACGGGUGUGUAACGCGUCGGAUUCUGACCCCAGGUUUGGAAUACCAGCCGGAAACGGCUGCUAAUACCGGAAGCCUGAGGAUGAGCCCGCGUUGGAUUAGGUAGUUGGGGGGGUAAAGGCCUACCAAGCCGACGAUCCCUAGUGGGUCUGAGAGGAGGACCAGCCACACUGGAACUGAGACACGGUCCAGACUCCUACGGGAGGCAGCAGUGGGGAAUAUUGCACAAUGGGCGCAAGCCUGAUGCAGCCAUGCCGCGUGUAUGAAGAAGGCCUUCGGGUUGUAAAGUACUUUCAGCGGGGAGGCGUUACCCGCAGAAGAAGCACCGGCUAACUCCGUGCCAGCAGCCGCGGUAAUAC
rnacentral:rRNA from 1 species